UACGUAGGUGGCAAGCGUUGUCCGGAUUUACUGGGUGUAAAGGGCGUGCAGCCGGGAAGACAAGUCAGAUGUGAAAUCCCGCGGCUCAACCGCGGAACUGCAUUUGAAACUGUUUUUCUUGAGUACCGGAGAGGUCAUCGGAAUUCCUUGUGUAGCGGUGAAAUGCGUAGAUAUAAGGAAGAACACCAGUGGCGAAGGCGGAUGACUGGACGGCAACUGACGGUGAGGCGCGAAAGCGUG
rnacentral:rRNA from 1 species